GACGGGGGAGCACCACAACGGGUGGAGCCUGCGGUUUAAUUGGAUUCAACGCCGGACAACUCACCGGAUACGACAGCGGAAUGAUAGCCGGGCUGAAGACUCUGCUUGACUAGCUGAGAGGAGGUGCAUGGCCGUCGUCAGUUCGUACUGUGAAGCAUCCUGUUAAGUCAGGCAACGAGCGAGACCCACGCCAACAGUUGCCAGCAUGAUCUCCGGAUUGAUGGGGACACUGUUGGGACCGCCUCUGCUAAAGGGGAGGAAGGAAUGGGCAACGGUAGGUCAGCAUGCCCCGAAUUAUCCGGGCUACACGCGGGCUACAAUGGAUGGGACAAUGGGUUUCGACACCGAAAGGUGAAGGUAAUCUCCUAACCCCACCCGUAGUUCGGAUUGCGGGCUGCAACUCGCCCGCAUGAAGCUGGAAUCCGUAGUAAUCGCGUCUCACGAUGGCGCGGUGAAUAUGUCCCUGCUCCUU
rnacentral:rRNA from 1 species